AUGGAUUUAGCACAUCAAAUACACCUGCCAAAGCAAUGAGAGGGGAAAAAAAGAGACUUAAAAGCUGUUUUGUAUGAAAUCAGUCAGUGAAAGUUCCACAUUUGCCAGAUGUUCAGCUGAGUAAAACCCUCAAUAAAGACUUUUGGAAGGUCACUUCCUGGAGAACCAGCCUUUCCCCUGCCAUCCAAAUCGAGUGAGGUUGACCAAAGACAGAAUCACAGGAUCACAGCAUCUCAGAACGGUUUGAAUUGGAAAGAACAUUAAAGAUGACCUCGUUCCAUCGCCCCUGCCAUGGCAGCUGGCAUUUAGUGGGGGAGAGAGUGUCAGCUCCAUCCCAGUGCUCUGUCAGACACAGCUCUGGCCAUCUGACUUAAAAGGACCUGGAAAACAGACUGGGAAUGCCUGGGGGAAAAAAUAGCUGUCCUGCAGCACUGCAGAUGCCAAAGCAAAGUGUCAGCCCUACAUGUGACAAAACCUGCUGCUCCCAUGCCCUAAACGAAGGUGGGGAGAACAUGCAAAUUGUGUCCUCAUCAAACGUUUGGAAAUAAAAAUACAACAACUUUGAAACUGCAGGAGGCUUUUCCAGAUUAUUCAUCCUGCAGCAGUUUUGUUCCCAAAACCGAAUGCCCAUGCUAGGCAGAGGGCCAUCUUCCUAACUGGUAUCAAUCAGAAACAGCUCCAUUCAUUGGGAUGGACCACAUUUAGCCCAUCUGAGCAUCAAUUUGUCUUUCUGACAAGACUUGAUCGCUCACUUUGACGUGCUCAGGAGCCGGGGCUGCCAGCAGUUGUUUCUUUCCUUGGCAAACCUCUCCGGUGCUAACACAAGCACUUUUUUCCCCUUACAGCAUGCACAGGCACCACAGAAGGGCUCAGUUGCUGCUUGUAAUGAUCUCAUGUGUUUUUGGAGCUCAGCCUUUUACGAGGGUGGUGCCUGGGGUGCAGACAGAUGGGCUCUGCCCACCUCUGCUCUGGAUGCUUGAGGGAUCUCCCAGGUCUUUCCCUACCGUGUAAUUUUGAAUCGUGUCUCUUUUAUUUGUC